rnacentral:rRNA from 1 species
CCUACGGGGGGCUGCAGUGGGGAAUAUUGGACAAUGGGCGCAAGCCUGAUCCAGCAAUGCCGCGUGUGUGAAGAAGGCCUUCGGGUUGUAAAGCACUUUUAUCAGGAACGAAAAGGCGUCGGCGAAUACCCGGCGCUGCUGACGGUACCUGAGGAAUAAGCACCGGCUAACUUCGUGCCAGCAGCCGCGGUAAUACGAAGGGUGCAAGCGUUAAUCGGAAUUACUGGGCGUAAAGGGUGUGCAGGUGGCCCGUUAAGUCUGCCGUGAAAGCCCCG